AGCGAACGCUGGCGGCAGGCCUAACACAUGCAAGUCGAACGAAGUCUUCGGACUUAGUGGCGGACGGGUGAGUAACACGUGGGAACGUGCCUUUAGGUUCGGAAUAACUCAGGGAAACUUGUGCUAAUACCGAAUGUGCCCUUCGGGGGAAAGAUUUAUCGCCUUUAGAGCGGCCCGCGUCUGAUUAGCUAGUUGGUGAGGUAAAGGCUCACCAAGGCGACGAUCAGUAGCUGGUCUGAGAGGAUGAUCAGCCACAUUGGGACUGAGACACGGCCUAAACUCCUACGGGAGGCAGCAGUGGGGAAUCUUGCGCAAUGGGCGAAAGCCUGACGCAGCCAUGCCGCGUGAAUGAUGAAGGUCUUAGGAUUGUAAAAUUCUUUCACCGGGGACGAUAAUGACGGUACCCGGAGAAGAAGCCCCGGCUAACUUCGUGCCAGCAGCCGCUGUAAAAC
rnacentral:rRNA from 1 species